CCGGAGAGUCGAUUUGGAGGUUGUGCCCUUGAGGCGUGGCUUCCGGAGCUAACGCGUUAAAUCGACCGCCUGGGGAGUACGGCCGCAAGGUUAAAACUCAAAUGAAUUGACGGGGGCCCGCACAAGCGGUGGAGCAUGUGGUUUAAUUCGAUGCAACGCGAAGAACCUUACCUGGUCUUGACAUCCACAGAACUUUCCAGAGAUGGAUUGGUGCCUUCGGGAACUGUGAGACAGGUGCUGCAUGGCUGUCGUCAGCUCGUGUUGUGAAAUGUUGGGUUAAGUCCCGCAACGAGCGCAACCCUUAUCCUUUGUUGCCAGCGGUCCGGCCGGGAACUCAAAGGAGACUGCCAGUGAUAAACUGGAGGAAGGUGGGGAUGACGUCAAGUCAUCAUGGCCCUUACGACCAGGGCUACACACGUGCUACAAUGGCAUAUACAAAGAGAAGCGACCUCGCGAGAGCAAGCGGACCUCAUAAAGUAUGUCGUAGUCCGGAUUGGAGUCUGCAACUCGACUCCAUGAAGUCGGAAUCGCUAGUAAUCGUAGAUCAGAAUGCUACGGUGAAUACGUUCCCGGGCCUUGUACACACCGCCCGUCACACCAUGGGAGUGGGUUGCAAAAGAAGUAGGUAGCUUAACCUUCGGGAGGGCGCUUACCACUUUGUGAUUCAUGACUGGGGUGAAGUCGUAAAGGGAAAACAACGUUAACUUUUUUCGAUGCUGCUCAAAUUAUGCUCCAGUAUCUGCUUUUUAUCCCCCGAUACUACCCCUGACUCAUGGGUUUUGCUCACCACCUUACUCCUCUCAACCCCCGCCUCUGCGAUCUUAAACCCCACUCUCCUGAACUAUUCCCGCCCGCUUGCUUGGUUAAGGCACGCCGCCAGCGUCCCCCAGACAAAAAAAACAAAAAAAAAAAAACCGGGGGGGGGUUUUUUCCCCAAAUUUUCCAAAAAAAGGUCGCCCCCCCCCUUAUACCCCCGCUGGGGGGAAAAAAUAGGGGGUUUUUUUUUGUGGGGGAAAAAUACAAAAAGGGGUUAUAUAAUUAUACUUCUUUCUGCGGGAAAAAGGGUGUUAAACACAGGGAGGCGUCUUCUCACACCCCCGGGUGGCCCAACGGGGGCGCCACCUAU
rnacentral:rRNA from 1 species